rnacentral:rRNA from 1 species
GAGUUUGAUCCUGGCUCAGAUUGAACGCUGGCGGUAUGCUUAACACAUGCAAGUCGAACGGAAACGAUACUAGCUUGCUAGUAGGCGUCGAGUGGCGGACGGGUGAGUAACGCGUAGGAAUCUGCCUGAUAGUGGGGGAUAGCCCGGAGAAAUUCGGAUUAAUACCGCAUAAUCUAUUCGUAGUAAAGUGGGGGACUUUCGAGCCUCACGCUAUCAGAUGAGCCUGCGUAAGAUUAGCUUGUUGGUAGGGUAAAAGCCUACCAAGGCGACGAUCUUUAGCUGGUCUGAGAGGAUGAUCAGCCACAUCGGGACUGAGACACGGCCCGAACUCCUACGGGAGGCAGCAGUGGGGAAUAUUGGACAAUGGGGGCAACCCUGAUCCAGCAAUACCGCGUGUGUGAAGAAGGCCUGAGGGUUGUAAAGCACUUUCAAUUGUGAAGAAAAGUUAACGUUUAAUAACCGUUAGCCUUGACGUUAACUUUAGAAGAGGCACCGGCUAACUCCGUGCCAGCAGCCGCGGUAAUACGGAGGGUGCAAGCGUUAAUCGGAAUUACUGGGCGUAAAGCGUGCGUAGGCGGUUUAUUAAGUCAGAUGUGAAAGCCCCGGGCUUAACCUGGGAACUGCAUUUGAAACUGGUAAACUAGAGUAUGGAAGAGGAAAGUGGAAUUUCUGGUGUAGCGGUGAAAUGCGUAGAUAUCAGAAGGAACAUCAAUGGCGAAGGCAGCUUUCUGGACCAAUACUGACGCUGAGGUACGAAAGCGUGGGUAGCAAACAGGAUUAGAUACCCUGGUAGUCCACGCCGUAAACGAUGAUAACUAGCCGUUGGGGGGAUUUACCCUUUAGUGGCGAAGCUAACGCGUUAAGUUAUCCGCCUGGGGAGUACGGCCGCAAGGUUAAAACUCAAAGGAAUUGACGGGGACCCGCACAAGCGGUGGAGCAUGUGGUUUAAUUCGAUGCAACGCGAAGAACCUUACCUGGUCUUGACAUCCUGCGAACUUUCUAGAAAUAGAUUGGUGCCUUCGGGAACGCAGUGACAGGUGCUGCAUGGCUGUCGUCAGCUCGUGUCGUGAGAUGUUGGGUUAAGUCCCGUAACGAGCGCAACCCCUAUCCUUAUUUGCCAGCACAUUAUGGUGGGAACUAUAAGGAGACUGCCGGUGAUAAACCGGAGGAAGGCGGGGACGACGUCAAGUCAUCAUGGCCCUUACGACCAGGGCUACACACGUGCUACAAUGGGAAGGACAAAGAGCCGCGAAGCCGCGAGGUGUAGCUAAUCUCAUAAACCUUUUCGUAGUCCGGAUUGGAGUCUGCAACUCGACUCCAUGAAGUCGGAAUCGCUAGUAAUCGUAGAUCAGAAUGCUACGGUGAAUACGUUCCCGGGUCUUGCACACACC